GGAAACACACCGUUUUGAUAUUAGGGUUGAACCCCUCUUCAUCUCUGAUAUUUGAGAUCGACACACAAACUGAGUUCUGAAAGCGUUGAUUCGUCUUCACCAAAGUGGACAACGUAAUCUAGGGUUCAUCUUAUUCUUCGAUCCCUGAGCAUCUUCACCAACAAUGGAGUUUCUAGAGGAUGCGUGAGUUGAAUAGUCUUGAAGAAUCUCUGUAAGAAGCUUCGAUUGUGUCUUUACGCCUUCCUUUCUAAUCUUUCGAAACGUUAAUGGUUAUUAAUUCAUCGCUUUAACAAACAUCUUAAUACCAUCAACCCACGUCGAGCACGAUCUGAGAUUGAUUCAUCUUAUCCCUCUGCAAGUCGGUCUCUCUGCACCUAUAAAAGUGGCUUCUCGAGCUGCGACACAAGAAGCUGCGAUGAACGGAGUCCUCAUUGGUUCGAAUCAGCCCUAAGGACGACGGAGUCGCGGAGAUCUCUGAUCCCGUACCUCUCAUUCCUCCUCUCGAUAUCUCUCGCUCAUCAUGGCCACUCUCUCUUCUUCUUAUGAUCUUAAUCAGCUUUGAAAUUGAACUUUGAUAUUGGAUUACGGAUUGUGGAGUUUUAGUUCGUCUACGAAAUGAAAUUGCAUUCUUGACCUUCUGAAUAUUGCUUGAUUGUCUAUAGAGGAGGAUUACGUGGCUAUGUGAGUAGAUGGAGUUGAGAUGAGGAUGCUAGCUCUUACAGCUUUAGAUGUUCUACGGUUCCUCAGAUUUUUCAAUCGAUACAGGUUUUUGUGUUUUGAGUGAACUUUUGACGCUUAGGAAGUGAGGAUAUGCAAGAGUUCAGUGUGUAGCAUGCAAGACAACAGAUGAGUUAUUGCAAUAAGCUGGCUAAACUUGAUGGAGUUCCAUACCGUGAUUUCACUGGAUAGGUCUAGAGUUUUUUUUUGGAAAAUAAAAAAUUUAGUUUGCAUCUUAUUGAGGGGUUAACAUGAUAAACUCAAGCAUCUUGCUUAGUUGUUGUUUGUCUUGCCCUGUGUGCUGUUCGCAGGAGAGGAUUUGACUAUUCCCUACGGGUUUGAAUGUAAGGAUAAUGUUUGAGACCAACACACGAAACCCACCGGGUCUUAUAAAUGACAA